rnacentral:rRNA from 1 species
GUGAGUAGUUCAGAGUUUGAGUCCUGGCGUCAGGACGAACGCUGGCGGCGUGCCUAACACAUGCAAGUCGAACGGGGUGUUGAGAGCUUGCUCUUAACACUUAGUGGCGAACGGGUGAGUAACGCGUGAGGAACCUGCCUUUCAGUGGGGGACAACAGUUGGAAACGACUGCUAAUACCGCAUAAUGCAGCUAGACCGCAUGGUCUUACUGCCAAAGCUUUAUGUGCUGAAAGAUGGCCUCGCGUCUGAUUAGCUAGUUGGUGGGUAACGGCCCACCAAGGCGACGAUCAGUAGCCGGUCUGAGAGGAUGAACGGCCACAUUGGGACUGAGAUACGGCCCAG